CGCACAUUGCGCCCCCUGGUAUUCCGGGGGGCAUGCCUGUUCGAGCGUCAUUUAUACCAAUCUAGCCUGGCUAGGUGUUGGGCGCCGCCGCCUGGCGGGUCUUAAAACUAGUGGCGGUGCUCUCAAGCUCUACGCGUAGUAAUCUUCUCGCUACAGGGUCUUAGGAGAUGCUAGCCAGCAAUCCCAAAUUUUUCUAGGUUGACCUCGGAUCAGGUAGGGAUACCCGCUGAACUUAA
rnacentral:misc_RNA from 1 species